GUUGCUUCUUGGCCUUUUGGCUAAGAUCAAGUGUAGUAUCUGUUCUUAUCACAUAACAUUGAGAAUAGACUCGAAAUGAGGAAUAAUGGAAGCAAGAGGUUCA
rnacentral:snRNA from 1 species